AGAGUUUGAUCCUGGCUCAGGACGAACGCUGGCGGCGUGCCUAAUACAUGCAAGUAGAACGCUGAAGAGAGGAGCUUGCUCUUCUUGGAUGAGUUGCGAACGGGUGAGUAACGCGUAGGUAACCUGCCUUGUAGCGGGGGAUAACUAUUGGAAACGAUAGCUAAUACCGCAUAACAAUGGAUGACCCAUGUCAUUUAUUUGAAAGGGGCAAAUGCUCCACUACAAGAUGGACCUGCGUUGUAUUAGCUAGUAGGUGAGGUAACGGCUCACCUAGGCGACGAUACAUAGCCGACCUGAGAGGGUGAUCGGCCACACUGGGACUGAGACACGGCCCAGACUCCUACGGGAGGCAGCAGUAGGGAAUCUUCGGCAAUGGGGGCAACCCUGACCGAGCAACGCCGCGUGAGUGAAGAAGGUUUUCGGAUCGUAAAGCUCUGUUGUAAGUCAAGAACGAGUGUGAGAGUGGAAAGUUCACACUGUGACGGUAGCUUACCAGAAAGGGACGGCUAACUACGUGCCAGCAGCCGCGGUAAUACGUAGGUCCCGAGCGUUGUCCGGAUUUAUUGGGCGUAAAGCGAGCGCAGGCGGUUUGAUAAGUCUGAAGUUAAAGGCUGUGGCUCAACCAUAGUUCGCUUUGGAAACUGUCAAACUUGAGUGCAGAAGGGGAGAGUGGAAUUCCAUGUGUAGCGGUGAAAUGCGUAGAUAUAUGGAGGAACACCGGUGGCGAAAGCGGCUCUCUGGUCUGUAACUGACGCUGAGGCUCGAAAGCGUGGGGAGCGAACAGGAUUAGAUACCCUGGUAGUCCACGCCGUAAACGAUGAGUGCUAGGUGUUGGAUCCUUUCCGGGAUUCAGUGCCGCAGCUAACGCAUUAAGCACUCCGCCUGGGGAGUACGACCGCAAGGUUGAAACUCAAAGGAAUUGACGGGGGCCCGCACAAGCGGUGGAGCAUGUGGUUUAAUUCGAAGCAACGCGAAGAACCUUACCAGGUCUUGACAUCCCGAUGCUAUUUCUAGAGAUAGAAAGUUACUUCGGUACAUCGGUGACAGGUGGUGCAUGGUUGUCGUCAGCUCGUGUCGUGAGAUGUUGGGUUAAGUCCCGCAACGAGCGCAACCCCUAUUGUUAGUUGCCAUCAUUCAGUUGGGCACUCUAGCGAGACUGCCGGUAAUAAACCGGAGGAAGGUGGGGAUGACGUCAAAUCAUCAUGCCCCUUAUGACCUGGGCUACACACGUGCUACAAUGGUUGGUACAACGAGUUGCGAGUCGGUGACGGCAAGCUAAUCUCUUAAAGCCAAUCUCAGUUCGGAUUGUAGGCUGCAACUCGCCUACAUGAAGUCGGAAUCGCUAGUAAUCGCGGAUCAGCACGCCGCGGUGAAUACGUUCCCGGGCCUUGUACACACCGCCCGUCACACCACGAGAGUUUGUAACACCCGAAGUCGGUGAGGUAACCUUUUGGAGCCAGCCGCCUAAGGUGGGAUAGAUGAUUGGGGUGAAGUCGUAACAAGGUAGCCGUAUCGGAAGGUGCGGCUGGAUCACCU
rnacentral:rRNA from 4 species